CCUACGGGUGGCAGCAGUGGGGAAUAUUGCACAAUGGGGGAAACCCUGAUGCAGCGACGCCGCGUGAAGGAAGAAGGCCUUCGGGUUGUAAACUUCUUUUGUCAGGGACGAAGCAAGUGACGGUACCUGACGAAUAAGCCACGGCUAACUCCGUGCCAGCAGCCGCGGUAAUACGUAGGUGGCAAGCGUUAUCCGGAUUUACUGGGUGUAAAGGGCGUGUAGGGGGGAGAGCAAGUCAGACGUGAAAUUCCAGGGCUCAACCCUGGAACUGCGUUUGAAACUGUUCUUCUUGAGUGAUGGAGAGGCAGGCGGAAUUCCGUGUGUAGCGGUGAAAUGCGUAGAUAUACGGAGGAACACCAGUGGCGAAGGCGGCCUGCUGGACAUUAACUGACGCUGAGGCGCGAAAGCGUGGGGAGCAAACAGGAUUAGAUACCCUUGUAGUC
rnacentral:rRNA from 1 species